CGUGGGUAACCUACCCAUCAGAGGGGGAUAACACUUGGAAACAGGUGCUAAUACCGCAUAACAGUUUAUGCCGCAUGGCAUAAGAGUGAAAGGCGCUUUCGGGUGUCGCUGAUGGAUGGACCCGCGGUGCAUUAGCUAGUUGGUGAGGUAACGGCUCACCAAGGCCACGAUGCAUAGCCGACCUGAGAGGGUGAUCGGCCACACUGGAACUGAGACACGGUCCAG
rnacentral:rRNA from 1 species